UGGGGAAUUUUGGACAAUGGGCGCAAGCCUGAUCCAGCAAUGCCGCGUGAGUGAAGAAGGCCUUCGGGUUGUAAAGCUCUUUUGUCAGGGAAGAAACGGCUGCGGCUAAUAUCUGCGGCUAAUGACGGUACCUGAAGAAUAAGCACCGGCUAACUACGUGCCAGCAGCCGCGGUAAUACGUAGGGUGCAAGCGUUAAUCGGAAUUACUGGGCGUAAAGCGUGCGCAGGCGGUUUUGUAAGUCUGACGUGAAAUCCCCGGGCUCAACCUGGGAAUUGCGUUGGAGACUGCAAGGCUGGAGUCUGGAAGAGGGGGGUAGAAUUCCACGUGUAGCAGUGAAAUGCGUAGAGAUGUGGAGGAACACCGAUGGCGAAGGCAGCCCCCUGGGUCAAGACUGACGCUCAUGCACGAAAGCGUGGGGAGCAAACAGGAUUAGAUACCCUGGUAGUCCACGCCCUAAACGAUGUCUACUAGUUGUCGGGUUUUAAAUUAACUUGGUAACGCAGCUAACGCGUGAAAGUAGACCGCCUGGGGAGUACGGUCGCAAGAUUAAAACUU
rnacentral:rRNA from 1 species